UACACUUCCCCAUUGAAAAUAAAAACAGUUCAAGUUAACGCAAUCUCGUUGUUUUUGAAAUUGGUCCUUGCAGUUGUAGUAAUUUUCAAAUGUACUUAAUUACGAAAUGAUUCCAAUGGGAUGUAGCCAAUUUUUUUAUCUAUUGCACCUUCAAUAAGUUGAUUUCAACACCAGCAAGGUGGAUUCAGUGUUUUUUCGUUACCGUAGGAAGUUUGUUUUAAAAUUAUUUUAAGUGUCGUAGUGCUGUAAAUUUCUAUUAGUUUACGCUAUUAUGUGACUUUGUGUAAAAUUAUCAAGGUCACUGGUAUUGAUUUAUGAAAGCAGAAAUGAGGAAUGCACAGGCGACUGUUCAAAAAAUUGUGCUGCAAUAUUUUGUGAUGAUGGCUUAAACACCGCCAAAACGUCGUCCCGGAAAUCAUCGUGGCGUAAACAGCCACGUUCAGGUGUUCAACCUCCCGCCAACUCAGCACGUCGCUUCAAUGUGACAGUUGUAUCAAGCGGGCCCUCGGGCGAGGGCGCCGGACCCCCAACCUCCCCUGUACCCCGCUGUCGUGGACAACCCUUCGCAAGCAUCCCCGAAGAUCAACCACUCGACGAAUCACCUAUCCAACAAUACCUCGAUUACUGCAGCAGAUCGGCCUCACCCGCUCCCUCAUGGGAUUUCAGCAAC